rnacentral:rRNA from 1 species
UACGUAGGUGGCAAGCGUUGUCCGGAUUUAUUGGGUUUAAAGGGUGCGUAGGCGGCUUUGUAAGUCAGUGGUGAAAUAUGGCAGCUCAACUGUCAGGGUGCCAUUGAUACUGCGGAGCUUGAGUACAGAUGAGGUAGGCGGAAUUGACGGUGUAGCGGUGAAAUGCUUAGAUAUCGUCAAGAACACCGAUAGCGAAGGCAGCUUACUAGGCUGUAACUGACGCUGAGGCACGAAAGUGUGGGGAGCAAACAGG